rnacentral:lncRNA from 1 species
ACCUCACUUGUGGAAUUUCACUGGGUAUGUUGUUGUUGUAUACUACUAUGUUGAUUCAUUAAUUUUUCAUAAUUGUAGUUCGCAUGACCGCUAGAAGCUACAACUUGCUGAGUCAAAUAUGUGGCAAAUUUUAUUAGCAAAUAUGAACACACAUACGUAUUUGCACUAACGUUAUAGCUAUCCAUCAUGACUAAACAAGUAAACUACACAAAUGUUACCUAUGUCCCGUUGAGGCAAUUUUUGUGCACAAUGGGCCAAAUAUAAGCGGCAAUAAAACGAUGCUAGUGGAUCUGCAAUGCCUCUUGCCAUCAUAACCAGUCGUGGAAGAUUAUUGGCAGGUUGUUCCGAAAGGAAACGCCAGCAAUGGCAUAUGGCCAGCUCCAAGUAUCUGUUCACAAGAGUAUUUGUCAAACAGAAGACCAACAGAAAUAUAAACUCGUGAACAGUUUUUCAAUUUUAAGAAAGAAAAGAAAUGAAAAAGGUGAUUUCGGUUUUCUCCCUGCAAUGAUAUCUUGUAUAGGUUGCAGACACUUCGCUUUUCUAAAGAAAAAGAGAAGAAGAGAUCUGAUAAUUGAUUACUCAAUCAAGCAUGUUGGUAUUUAAAUAGUUUUACAAAUAAAACUUAAAAGGAAGAAAGAAAUUUUGAGUUCUAAUUACACAAUCAUAGGGAUUCUAAAACCUUUUGCAUAUUUAUAAUGGGCUCUUGACAUACUAACAAUAUUUAAUUCUUAAUAACUGCCAGAAACUGCUCAGCUGAUAUGGAACAUGAGCACGAAACUACAAAUACCAGAGGUGGAAUUCUCAUUGAAAACUUCAAAUCAUUUCAGUCUAGAGGAGGAGGCAGAAUCUACCUUACUUUUAUGAUUAUGAUGAAAGCAGUUGCAUAGAAAAGCCACAUGGCAAUGUAUCCUAGAUAAUUUAAAAUUCACCAUGCUAUCACAAUACAGAGAUAAUCUACAGCUUGCAUUCUAACAAUUUUUCACUAGUGAACCGAGAUCAUCACUUUUGGAAAAAUUCAAAGAUCAUUCCUUAAAUAUGUCAAUUUCCAAUAACUCUAUAAUGCUUCCAAAUCCAUUCCAGCAUCUCACCUAACGACAUUAUGUUAAUAAAUAAUAGACACCUUAAGAUAAAUUAAAGUAAAAAAAAGAAGCAGAAUCACGAGUUAUAAAGACACAGGCUAGGAAUUGCAAGAACUGAGGACCUCACAUGCGUGGCAGUAGCUCGCGGAUGGAACCAACUUUGCAAAACCAGUUAUAGCAGGUUUCUUUGGCUUCAGCACAGAUUUCAGUUGCUUGAAAGUUACCUGUUACAGAUCAAGUGCAUCUUUUAGUAAGAAAUGGGACUCAGAAACCAGAACAGUUACAUCAAGGAUAUCAGAAUACUGAAAACAAAGAAGAAACAAAAUUUGGAAAGAUAUCUUAGAGAUUGGUAUACUAAAGACAUUGAAACCUUGUCCUUCAACUUAAAAAUAAAAUUUUACUAAUGAAAAAAAAAUCCGCGCAAUUCUGAUUUGGAAUGUUAACAACACCACAAUUAACUUAUCCAGCAUCGCUUCACCAUAUAACCAUCCUCUUUGACUAUGAUUAAUUAUAAUGAGAAUUGGAGAUCCUUAAGGUGCCAAUGUCAGGCUUAGCAAUAAGACAAAUUUCAUAACUUGUUACCGAGAUAUCUACUAUUCUAACCGUGGGCCUAAGGAUUCUACAGUCUUCCAUUACAAUAAACAGUGGCAGACUGCUCUAAGUCAUCCAAACAAAAUCAAUUAGAAAAUCUUACAAAUUAUUUCCAAGUUGAUUUAUACACAAGGAUGAUGACAAACUUAUUUUACACAAACAGUACAUUAGAGACUAAAUUUGAGUCACAGUAAAAGCACAUAUGACAGCAGUGGACACCGGAUACUGGUAACUAGGUGCCAGUUGGCCACGAGGAAGCAGAGCUAGAGGUAAAUGUGAGGGAUAUACCUGGUAAAUGGACUAAUGUCCCAUCUUCAGUAUAUUCAGCUUUCUGCCUGAUGCGUUCCCAUACCAUAUCCCCUAACAUAUCUAGUAUUUCUGUAGCUAGAACAAAAAGUGUUGGAUACAAUUGUAGUACAGAUGUGUCCGACAGUAACUUAGCAACCUAUUCAAGAGAAAUCAAGACACAUUUAGCUAAGAAAUGAAAGUAGAAUUGCCAACAGGCCACGUGAUGUUAUAGAAGAGUCUUAAGUUAUUAUAUCUGUGGUUCCAUUAGACCAGUUAACUAAUUUGAUCCUUCAUAUUUUUAUUAUUUGUUUUACUGUUGAAAUCAAUGAGAAGAGAAGAAACGUAUACUGUUAAAUGAUUUAUAAGAAAGCAAUUCAAUCAUGUUCUUUUUACUGUUUAUUUUUCUUGAAAUUAUGUUGAUCUAUCAGAUUAUCAGGUUAAAGUGUGUUGUACCUUAACAGAUGAAUUCAUCUUUUCAGUAACAAGUGUCAUCAGUUGGAAGCAGAAAAUAAGGGAAUAGUCUGCAAUGUUUGUCUCAAAUCAAUGUGGAGAUAGAACUAAAUUGGACUUAUUGUUGAUUGAUGCUAUAUGUUUGAACUAGGGAUGAGCAUUCAGUCGGUUGUUUGGUUUAUAGAAGUUGGUUCGGUAUUUCGGUUUAUGGUUUGGUAAAAGUGAAAAAAUCAAUCUGAAAUUAGUUCGGUUUGUUCUUUUAUAUUUAUUUUGGUUCGGAUUUUGGGUUUGGGCUUUAUCAUGCUAGCCUUUUUCAAAUCUUCUCCUGACUGGUCAUUCAAUUCAUCAGAACUUGUGGUAGCAUAAAACCGUAACUUUUGCUUCCUACCAAUGUAGUUUUGUCAGAUAACAUUGUUCAUGUAACAUAACAUAUUGGGAAAUACUUCUACACUUG